rnacentral:rRNA from 1 species
UACGAAGGGAGCUAGCGUUGUUCGGAAUCACUGGGCGUAAAGCGCACGUAGGCGGAUUGCUAAGUCAGGGGUGAAAUCCUGGAGCUCAACUCCAGAACUGCCUUUGAUACUGGCGACCUUGAGUCCGGGAGAGGUGAGUGGAACUGCGAGUGUAGAGGUGAAAUUCGUAGAUAUUCGCAAGAACACCAGUGGCGAAGGCGGCUCACUGGCCCGGUACUGACGCUGAGGCGCGAAAGCGUGGGGAGCAAACAGG